GGUACUCAGGUGCUCUGUUACACCCACUACAGUAGGGCCCCCAGUGAUCAAGGCACAUAUAUUUAAACUUGGGAUAUUUUUCUGGUGUUAUCCAGGUUAAUCACACGCUCUUCUGGGUGACGAAAGGACGGGGCUCAAACAGAGCACACCUGCUGAGCAGAGUUUACAUCUGGUCCUUGAAAAUAUUACUUCAGAAACCAUUAGUUGGGAAGGUCUCAACUGAAGGAGGCCCCCGGGUAAUGAUUGUAAUAGAUGCCCCACUCUUACCUUUCCUUUGCCUGCAUUCCCAUUCUUUCACCAACCUAGAGCUCCAAUUUAUACCUCCCUUUCCCGUUAGUACAUAAUCCUCACGGCCUGAAAUUUACACCUACAUUCCAGACUCCACAUGACAGCUACAUUCAUAACACCACCCAUGAAAAGGCUUUUAUGAUCUUGAAUUUUGUACUUCUCAACAUUUUUUCCCCACUACUUUCAAAAUAUGCAUUCUUAAUAUUCCAACAAAGGGAAGCAGAUUAAAAGGAGAAAUACUAUAAAAUAAUUUGGUGAAGACCUAAUAAAAGAUGCAAUCAAUCAAGCAAGUGACAGUAGCAGUUCCUUUUAACAUCAAAUCUAAUGGUUUCUUUUUCUAGUACAAAAGUGCUCCAUUAACAGUGUGAGUCUUUUAUUUAGGUAAUUCACACAAGUGGUUGCCAGAUGUAGUUUAUUUUCAGGAGGGCACACUUAUAGAAGCAGCACACUGAGCGGAGACAGAGUUAUCUCCAACUAACCUACUCUCUAAUGACCUUUCAGAGUGAAAAUCUCAGUGAAAUCCUAAAACCGAAACCCUCAGAAUCAGAUCCAAGUAGCACUUCACAUUUAAAAUGAUGGUUGUAUGUCAGGGCUGGUCUACAGAGAAUGGUAGGGUGAUUCUUCGCCUCACCAUCUAUCCUCAAUGCACAGCCUUGAUUUAUCAGAGCUUCCCCUGCCCUGUGCAGCCAGGUCUGCCUCUAGCUUCAGCUCUGUUUUGACUCCCUUGCUUCAAUCAAAACUCACCUUUUUGAACCUUCUUUUCCUCAAAUGCUUCGUUUCUACUAGGUACCUCAAUCAACUACUGUUCACUAAAUGUAUUCCCUUUGUAGAUUAAUCCCUUGUGAGUCGCUUAAUUUGCAAAUAUUUUCGCCCAUUCUGUGGGUUGUCUUUUCAUUUUGUUUAUGUUUUCCUUUGCUGUGCAAAAACUUUGAAGUUUAGUUAGGUUCUGGUUUUUAUUUUUGUUUCUUUUUUCAUUACUCUAGGAGGUGGAUCUGAGAAGAUAUUGCUGUGGUUUAUGUCAUAAAGUAUUCAGCCUAUGUUUUCCUCUAAGAGUUUUAUAGUAUCUGGUCUUAUAUUUAGGUUUUUAAUCCAUUUUGAGUUUGUUCUUGUGUAUGGUGUUAGAGGUGUUGUAAUUUCAUUCUUCUACAUGUAGCUUUCCAGUUUUCCCGGCACUACUUAUUGAAGAGACUAUCUUUUCCCAAUUGUAUAUUGUUGCUCCUUUGUCAUAGAUUAGUUGACUGUAGGUGGCUCCUGCAGCUCAAUAUAUAUAUAUAUAUAUAAAACACAACUCAAUAAAAAAAUAGGCAGAGGUCUAAAUAGACAUUUCUCCAAAGAUAUACAAAUGGCCAAAAAACAUAUGAAAAAAUGCUCAACAUCACUAAUUACUAGAGAAAUGCUAAUCAAAACUACUGUGAGCUACCACCUUACACCAGCCAGAAUGGCCAUCCUCAAAAAGUCUACAAACAAGAAAUGCCAGAGAGGAUGUGAAGAAAAGGGAACACUCUUACACUAUUGGAGGGAAUGUAAAUUGAUGUAACCAUUGUGGAAAACACUGUGUAGUUUCCUCAAAAAAACUAAAUAAUAAAACUACCCUAUGAUCCAGCAAUCUCACUCCUGGGCAGAGAAAAUCACAAUUCAAAGGAUACAUGCUCCUAAUGUUCAUUGCAACACUAUUUACAAUAACCAAAACAUGGAAGCAACUUAAUUGUCCUUUGACAGAGGAAUGUAUAAAGAUGAGGUAAGUAUAUACAGUGAAGUAUUACUUAACCAUGAAGCACAAACUGUUUUCUCAAGACUUCCUUAAACAUCUAACUGUAAGAGCUGCCAUUGACAGAUUAUAUUUGAAUUGAGGCUUGAUAAAAACCUUCGUUAGCAUUUCUACUUCUUCCCACAUUUAGUUUUUCUGGCUUUUCUCCCUUUUUUUCCUGCCACUUUUUCUCACUCCCCAUUAAAUCUCCUAUCUUGGAUAGGUCAAGCUAUGAAUAGAAUUUACUUUACAUAUGGCUUGCUAGACCGUUGCAUCUUUGAGGGAUUCAAUCAACCACUUCGUUAGCAUAAAGGCAAGGAGAAGAAUACUUAAGACAGAUGAGUGGGAUAUAUUAUGGGAAGAAUGGGGAAGGAAUGUUUUCUAAACAGUCAACAAUUGUAGGAUGAGGGAAAGAUGUUGGGCUGAAAAUAAGCAGAAUGAAGAAAAGAAGAGUAGAGCCAUGUGGCUUGUCCAGUAGGGAAUAAUAAGAAUAAAGGCUAAUAUUUGCUGAGUUAUCACCAUGUUGAAGGGACUGUGCUAAGUGCUUUACUGAAGACUUAAGAAGAUGAUAACUUAAUAAUCUGACAAAGAGAGGAAAUUGAAGCCCAGAAAAUUUAAUUUUAUUACCCCAAAUCACACAAUUAGGAAGUGGCAUUGCCAACAUAUGUAUUCAAGGUACUUGACUACAAAGCCAAGGCUGUUUGCCACUAUAGUCUUUAUAGGACCUAAAAAUAUGAGUUUAGACAGAAAUGAGGUAUGAAUUCUACAUGAUAUUCACUUGAAUGUGACAGAUAGGCACUGAGCAAAUCAAAAGGAACCUAAAUUGUGUUAGAUCGGGCAGGAUAUUCCUUUUUCUUUACUAAAGAAGCCUUUUUUAGGUGGGUGGUGGGGAUGGGAAAGGUGGCCUUGUCUGCUACUUACAUCAGAAUAAAAGGGAACAUAGAAUAUUAGACAUUGACAUCCAUAAGUUUUAUGAGGUUAGUCAUGGGUAGCAUGGAAAAAAUAAGGUAAAAUGCACACUAAAGUGAGAAAUAAAAUCUGUGUGCCUGUGCCUGUGCAUGUGUGUGUGUUUGCUGAAGUUUUUUUGGAUGACUCACUGAGAAGACAGGUUAAUGCAUUCACUGAAUUUUUCAGUUGUUUAAAGAAUAAUCUACUUUCGUGCCUUAUGCCAGACUAAAAGGUCUUCCUAAACAGUCACACAGAAAAAUAAAAUACACCAAACUGUGUUGUCCUUGAACCUCUCUUCAUACACUUGCUUAAAAUUAAUAUACUUAAACAGAAUAACCCACCUAUCUGUGGCACCCAGUGGCUUAGAACUAUACAUAAUACAUAUUAAUAAACUAGGAGAAUGUGGUUCCUGCCACACUCAUUUUGUUUUCCUUCUCCUGACGGUGCUCUUGCUGUCAGAGACUUCUCCUCAGAUAAUGAAAGGCAACACAAGACACACACAUUCAUUCCUUCCUCCCUUCAAUCCUCUGUCCUGUCAUCUCUGAGCAACAGAACCUUCCAUUAGUGUUCACUUUAACAAGCCAAUUUCUUUGGGUUUAUUAGUGACAACUUUUAAAUUAGUGGGGAUCCAUGCCAGUUUUUCAAAGCAGGGUAUCUACAUGUUGCUCUCUCACAAUUAUGUUUUAAUUAGCAAGGUCACUGCUAAUUUUAAGAGAAUGCAGCAGGGCCCUUUUCCUCUCCCUCCCUAUUUUGGUAACAUAUGGUUGGUAAUGGAAAGAUAGAUAUGCUAUAACAGGAUGUGCCUAGACAAUGUCAAUAAGAUCAACAAGGGAGCUUGUCUCUGUGCAGAUGCUGGUUUGAUCCCCGACCCAGGGCAGUGGAUUAAGGAUCCAGCAUUGCUGGAGCUGUGGCGCCCAUAGGUCACACUUUUUUAUAAUUUAUGUUUUUGUUUUCAUCCCAUUUAAAUAGGUUAGAGCUGUUCAGAAACACGAAAUGAGUUUGGGCAAAAGUCACAGGGAGAAAAACCCAGUUUGUUUACGGAAAAUAAUCCAUUUUCAACUGGGAACUCAAAGUGAGGGUGAGUCAAAUCAAGGCUGUUUGCUGGAGCAGUGCUGGCCAUUUACAUCUUUUCUGCAGAGUAGAGGGUGGUUAGUGGGAAUGCUGAGAUUUGCUCUUGUUUUUUUCCUUCCAGUUACUCUGGACCACUUGACCGUCAAUAUCAUUAUACCACACAUGCUAUCAUCGAUGAACUUUCCAAAUCUCUUUGUCUACAUGUCCAUAUCAUGUGGAAAAGACUUGAAUUAGAUUCUCAGAUUGGGCUAUGGGAGAGUAUAUAUCAUUAUAACCCCCUUUCUGAAAGCUCGGCUCUAACUAGUAAGGGCAGGCCAGCUGCUCAAACAAAUAAGAGCAAAAACAUAAACAUUCAAAAGACAUUUAUUUCUCUCUCCUAUAACUAGUCCAGACAGGUGUUCCCAAUUUCAUGCUUCUUUCAUCCCAUAAAGCUAACUUCAUGUGUAACUCCUAAUUAUGAAAGAUAAACUACAUUAAGAAAAAACUUUUCCAGUCCAAUAUGAUAUAUACUCUUCUUUGUAAGUCACAAAACUCUUUGUGAUAAGAUGUUUGAGGUUCAUUGGUGUGUUAUUGUGGUGUUUAAAAAAAAAACCAAAAAACUGAAGCCUUGGUUUGACUUGGAGACCAUCACUGUGGGCUUCUGUGAAACAACAGUAGCAGAUGGUAUGGUCUGGAAUCCAGUUCUUGGAAAUGUGCCUUUUAGAACUGGAAGGGCCCACAGAUCUUCUAGCCUUGGAGGAACAGACAAUGACUAAGUGUUACUAAAAAAAAAAACAAGUUUGUGACUACAAGUUAAAGAGUCAUUCUGGGAGUUCCCUAUGUGGCUUAGCAAUAACAAACCCAACUAGUAUCCAUGAGGAAGAGGGUUAGAUCCUUGGCCUCGCUCAGUGGGUCAGGGAUCCGGCGUUGCUGUGAGCUGUAGUGUAGGUUGCAGACGCUGUCAGAUCCCAUGUUGCUGUGGCUGCAGUGUAGGCCAGGAGCUGUAGCUUCAAUCAACCCCGAGCCUGGGAAUUUCCAUAUGCCAUGGGUGCAGCC
rnacentral:lncRNA from 1 species